AUUGAACGCUGGCGGCAUGCUUUACACAUGCAAGUCGAACGGCAGCACGGGGGCAACCCUGGUGGCGAGUGGCGAACGGGUGAGUAAUGCAUCGGAACGUGCCCCGUCGUGGGGGAUAACACAUCGAAAGAUGUGCUAAUACCGCAUACGACCUGAGGGUGAAAGCGGGGGACCGCAAGGCCUCGCGCGAUGGGAGCGGCCGAUGUCUGAUUAGCUAGUUGGUGGGGUAAAGGCCUACCAAGGCGACGAUCAGUAGCUGGUCUGAGAGGACGACCAGCCACACUGGGACUGAGACACGGCCCAGACUCCUACGGGAGGCAGCAGUGGGGAAUUUUGGACAAUGGGGGCAACCCUGAUCCAGCCAUGCCGCGUGCGGGAAGAAGGCCUUCGGGUUGUAAACCGCUUUUGGCAGGAACGAAACGGUGCGGGCGAAUACCCUGUGCUAAUGACGGUACCUGCAGAAUAAGCACCGGCUAACUACGUGCCAGCAGCCGCCGCGGUAA
rnacentral:rRNA from 1 species